rnacentral:rRNA from 1 species
UAUUGGGCAUAAAGGGCAUCUAGGCGGCCUGACAAGUCAGGGGUGAAAACCUGCGGCUCAACCGCAGGCCUGCCUUUGAAACUGCUAGGCUGGAGUACCGGAGAGGUGGACGGAACUGCACGAGUAGAGGUGAAAUUCGUAGAUAUGUGCAGGAAUGCCGAUGAUGAAGAUAGUUCACUGGACGGUAACUGACGCUGAAGUGCGAAAGCCGGGGGAGCGAACAGGAUUAGAUACCCUGGUAGUCCCGGCCAUAAACGAUGAUUACUGGGUGUGGGCAGGAAGACUGUCUGUGCCGAAGCGAAUGCGAUAAGUAAUCCGCCUGGGGAGUACGGCCGCAAGGCUGAAACUCAAAGGAAUUGACGGGGACCCGCACAAGCGGUGGAGCAUGUGGUUUAAUUCGACGCAACGCGAGGAACCUUACCAGAUCUUGACAUCCCGCGAACGCCCAUGAGGAUGGGCGGUGCCUUCGGGAACGCGGAGACAGGUGGUGCAUGGCUGUCGUCAGCUCGUGUCGUGAGAAG